rnacentral:rRNA from 1 species
UACAGAGGUCUCAAGCGUUGUUCGGAUUCAUUGGGCGUAAAGGGUGCGUAGGCGGCGCGGUAAGUCGGGUGUGAAAUCUCGGGGCUUAACUCCGAAACUGCAUUCGAUACUGCCGUGCUUGAGGACUGGAGAGGAGACUGGAAUUUACGGUGUAGCGGUGAAAUUCGUAGAUAUUCGCAAGAACACCAGUGGCGAAGGCGGCUCACUGGCCCGAUACUGACGCUGAGGCACGAAAGCGUGGGGAGCAAACAGG